CGAAGAUUAGGGGAGAGUCCCAAAAUCGAGACUGGUUGGGCAUUAAGUCUCAUAAGAUCCAGAGAAAGGAUUGAAUUAACAAAAUCAAAUUGGGCUCGGUGGAGGGAAUUAAAUAUAAGAUAGGUAUAUAUCUUUACUACAAAAUCAGAUUGCCCUCGGCGGAGGAGAUGGAUAUAAGAUGGGUAUAUAACAAACAAAACCGAUUAGGCUGGCACUUCCAACUCUGCCGAUCACAGUAAAAUCGCAGAGCUAGUGUUGCACAGGCUAAGAAACGAACGAGAUUGGUGGAGGGAAUUAAAUAUAAGAUAGGUAUAUAUCUUUACUACAAAAUCAGAUUGCUCUCGGCGGAGGAGAUGGAUAGAAGAUGGG
rnacentral:lncRNA from 1 species